rnacentral:rRNA from 1 species
GUGAGGAAUAUUGGGCAAUGGGCGAAAGCCUGACCCAGCCACGCCGCGUGAGUGAUGAAGGCCUUCGGGUUGUAAAGCUCUGUGGGGAGGGAAGAAAAAGCGGGAGAGUAACUGCUCUCGUGUUGACGGUACCUCCUUAGCAAGCACCGGCUAACUCUGUGCCAGCAGCCGCGGUAAUACAGAGGGUGCAAACGUUGCUCGGAAUUACUGGGCGUAAAGCGCGUGUAGGCUGACAUGCAAGUCGGGUGUGAAAUCCCAGGGCUCAACCUUGGAACUGCACUCGAAACUGCACGGCUUGAGUACUGGAGAGGGAAGCGGAAUUCCGGGUGUAGAGGUGAAAUUCGUAGAUAUCCGGAGGAACACCAGUGGCGAAGGCGGCUUCCUGGACAGUAACUGACGCUGAGACGCGAAAGCGUGGGGAGCAAACAGGAUUAGAUACCCUGGUAGUCC